GAUGAACGCUGGCGGCGUGCCUAAUACAUGCAAGUCGAGCGAACAGAUGAGGAGCUUGCUCCUCUGACGUUAGCGGCGGACGGGUGAGUAACACGUGGAUAACCUACCUAUAAGACUGGGAUAACUUCGGGAAACCGGAGCUAAUACCGGAUAAUAUAUUGAACCGCAUGGUUCAAUAGUGAAAGACGGUUUUGCUGUCACUUAUAGAUGGACCCGCGCCGCAUUAGCUAGUUGGUAAGGUAACGGCUUACCAAGGCGACGAUGCGUAGCCGACCUGAGAGGGUGAUCGGCCACACUGGAACUAAGACACGGUCCAGACUCCUACGGGAGGCAGCAGUAGGGAAUCUUCCGCAAUGGGCGAAAGCCUGACGGAGCAACGCCGCGUGAGUGAUGAAGGUCUUCGGAUCGUAAAACUCUGUUAUUAGGGAAGAACAAAUGUGUAAGUAACUAUGCACGUCUUGACGGUACCUAAUCAGAAAGCCACGGCUAACUACGU
rnacentral:rRNA from 1 species